rnacentral:tRNA from 1 species
GGUUAUGUGGCUCAGUUGGUAGAGCAUGGUGUUUGCAACGCCAGGGUUGUGGGUUCGAUUCCCACGGGGGACCA